UUCGCCCUUUUCCGGUUGAUCCUGCCGGACCUGACUGCUAUCGGAUUGAUACUAAGCCAUGCGAGUCAUUGUAGUAAUACAAGGCAGACGGCUCAGUAACGCGUAGUCAACCUAACCUAUGGACGGGAAUAACCUCGGGAAACUGAGUAUAAUGCCCGAUAGAACAUUAUGCCUGGAAUGGUUUAUGUUCCAAAUGAUUUAUCGCCGUAGGAUGGGACUGCGGCCUAUCAGUUUGUUGGUGAGGUAAUGGCCCACCAAGACUAUUACAGGUACGGGCUCUGAGAGGAGUAGCCCGGAGAUGGGUACUGAGACACGGACCCAGGCCCUAUGGGGCGCAGCAGGCGAGAAAACUUUGCAAUGUGCGAAAGCACGACAAGGUUAAUCCGAGUGAUUUGUGCUAAACGAAUCUUUUGUUAGUCCUAGAAACACUAAUGAAUAAGGGGUGGGCAAGUUCUGGUGUCAGCCGCCGCGGUAAAACCAGCACCUCAAGUGGUCAGGAUGAUUAUUGGGCCUAAAGCAUCCGUAGCCGGCUCUGUAAGUUUUCGGUUAAAUCUGUACGCUCAACGUACAGGCUGCCGGGAAUACUGCAGAGCUAGGGAGUGGGAGAGGUAGACGGUACUC
rnacentral:rRNA from 1 species